GCCACCCCAUUUUAGGCGGGGCU
rnacentral:rRNA from 1 species